UUUUUUUUCUUUUUCUUUUUCUUUUCUGUUCUUUUUCUCUUUUUUUCUCCUGUUGUUAUUUAGCUGGAGAAAAGAGAAACUGGUGUCAUCCUCUAGCAACAGACAGUUCCUUUUUACCCUCAGAAGCUACUCCUAGCUUGGUACCCCACCUCCUACCAGGCCACACAUCUGCUUUGCCAAUUCCUUUUGGGCCCGUCUGGAACAUGCUGCAUUUGAUUCAAAGGGCCAGUCCUACCCUCCUACCUGAUGGGUGGUUUUCUUUUCUGCCUAUCCCAGAGCAGAUGUGCAGUUAAUGGGGUCCCUCAAGAACCUGUCACCAUCUUUAAAUUCAUCAUAUUAGCUUUGAGCUUGCAUCUUGGAAGUGAAGCCUGGGAUCUUUUGCCACAAAUGGCCCCUUCCACUUCCCCAGCAUAAGUGACUAGGCACCUGCUUCCUGCCAUUGCCAGCCUUCCAAUUGACCUCUAAGAGGGGCAUCAGGGCCACAUGGUAAACGUGGUUAUCUGCUCCCCUUGGCUGAGAUCAGGGAACCCUCUCUGUCUUGUUUCCCAUCUGUCUACUAGAGAUGCUGCUGCUGAACCCCAUGAAGCUGCUAAGCCAGGCACCAAGAGAAUGUGAAGGGGCCAUGGGGCUCUGAUUUGAAACCCUGCUCUUCCUUACUCUAAGCACUGUCCCAGCUUAGCUCUGAGGCCUAAGCCUUUGUUUGCCUCCUCUGGCCUAGAAGGCCAGGCAUUUUCCUUGGAUCCUGUUCCUGCAGGCCUGUUUCUUGCAGGGAAGGUAAGGGGAGUGGAACCCCCAGUUCUUUAGAGACUAUCCACAUGUUUUACCAAAACACAACUCCCAGUAAGAAAUGUAGGCACCUUUUCAAAAUGUUAUGGAUGUUCUUUUUGUUUGGUUGAUUGAUUGGUUUUGUUUUUUCUAGGCAGGGUUUCUCUAUGUAGCCUUGGCUGUCCUGGAACUUGCUCUGUAGACCAGGCUGGACUCUAACUCUUGGAGAUCCUCCUGCCUCUGUCUUCUAACUACUGAAAUUAAAAGUGUGUGUUACCAACCGCCUGUUAUGGAUGUUCUUAAUCCAAACCAAAUGGGUAGAUCUCUGCUGCCUAGGGAAGCUGUGUCUUACAAAGUGCCUUGCUGACCCUCCAGGCCUCACCUGUGGGUUUCCCAAAGGUCUGUUUUAUUCAAAUAUGUGAGUAAGCUCGGAAGCUAACUGAAGCAAGGUCACUUAGAGGAGUGACACCUUCCUGGGAGCUUGAUAGGGAUUCUAUCUUGAUAAUGGGUUGUUUGUUUAUUUGUUUUGGGUUUGUUGUUGUACUUGUUCUGUUCUGUUUUGUUUUCUAAGACAGUGUUUCUUCGAGUAGCCUUGGCUUUCCUGGAACUAGCUCGGUAGACCACGCUGGACUCACACUCACAGAAAUCUGCCUGCCUCUUCCUCCUGAGUGCUGGAAUUAAAGGUUGUAUAUCACAACCUCCCCACCAGGCUGAGAAUAGUUUUGUUUUGGUUUGUUGUUUUAAUUAUGAAAAUUUAGUUUAUUUAAUGGUAUACUUAAAGUCUGAGUUCUAAUUGUGUCUUUAGUCAUGACAUACCCAACAAGUAGAUUCAAGAGUGUCUGUUGUCAGUUUGUAGAUUCUGGGCCCUCAGUUCUGUCCCUAAUCAAUUUCCUUUUGAUGACAUCUGGUAUAUACCUCACUGUGCUUUCAAGAGGUCUCCAUAGGUCAAUCUUUGAAGUCGGUUAGGCCAAAAAACCUGUCCUUUUCCUUUGGGUCAUAGGCUCAAUUGACACCACCCUCUUCCGGAUCAUGGGGUGCUGUCAAACAACUAGCUCUGCCUGUCAAGCUCAGUAUAGCUGCUAUAUGCCACCCCCAAACCCUGCCUCUCUACUCUUUUCAGGGAGACCAGAGAGGAUAGAGCUUGAUCUGAAUGUAUUUGAUGUCUCAUUGAGAAACAAGACGUAUAGGUGUUUCUGGAGAGAAAUGGGAGACCUGGGUCGAUUCCAGACUGAUUGGAGGGAGAAUAGAGCUGGUCUGAGGAAUCAAAGAAUUUGGGGGAAAGGCAGCAGUCAUGGCUCUGAGGGUUGUACUAGUCCCUUCCCAGGCCGGGGCCAGCCUAGCUGAUCUGUGAUCAGGGUUGUCUUUGGGUAUAGUGCCUACAUUUCCUUCCCUUCCAGAGGCUAAGGGCUGUGGGGAUGAGGAUGCUGAGGCAGAAGCAGAGAGCCCAGCACCUGGUGCUCUGUACUUGGGCUUCCAUGUGACAGAGGCAGGUCUUGUCCUCCUCCUGUAUCUGGUUUAUGUCAUCUGAACAUAGUGGGGGCUGGACUUAACGUUCCUUGUGUUCCCUCCAACUCCAACAUUUGGGGUUCAAAAGGUUCCCUCGCAGGCCUCUGCAUCCGAGAACACGCACACAUACAUGCACGCACACACAGCUGAAGAGAAUUAGGCUGCAAACGGCCACUCGGCUUUUCUCUUGAUUCCAAGGUAUUUAGAGUGGGGGUGGGGGAUGAGGGGGAGGAAGUUGCUGAGCUAAUUCUUCGGCAUUUGCCAGCACAGAAGUGCAGAUGGGGCCCAGAGCCCCAUGGGGUCCCAAGGGAAACACCAGAUCUCUUCCACACAGGCAAGGAAGGAGAAAGGGCUGCAGUGGGAGCCCCUCAUCCAAGCAGCAACUCAGCAGGCCCUGGCCAAGGGGUUCUGUGGGCCUCACUUCUCCCCACCCCCAUCCCUAGAGUCUAAGGAUAGAACUAGCUUCAGCCAGGUUACCAAGUUACUGCUUUUCUCCAAAGCAGAGAGGCCCAGGGCCACGUGGCUGCCUGGUUAGGCCAUCUUCUGGGAACAGGCGUUGCUGUAUGCUGUAGUCUGCACUCAACGGGGACCCCAUGUUAUCUCUGAGUGGCCAUUUGCAAAGCUAGGAAAGCCAUUCUUAAGGUUCACCCUUGCAGACAUUAUCCACAGACUCCACAGCCCCUCCUCAUUUCCCUGUUAAUGCUCAAACAUGUGCAUGUGGACAUCUCACGCUUGCACACACACACACACACACACACACAGUCUCUGUCUGUCACUGUCUGUCUCUGUCUCUGUCUUUCUCUCUUUUUCUCUCUCUCUCUCUGCAGACCUAGGUGAGCUCCCUGUAAUUUUCCGCAUAGUCAAUGUGUUUGCUGCAGAGCCUUCCUCUUCCCACAACCUCUCUGUCUCUUGAGCCUACACUCCAUCUGGAUCUCCCCACCAAUGUGUCUUUGUGGACCUGCUGAUAACUCCCCAUCCAUCCUUGAGGUUCACAGAUCUACUUUUCUCCUGCAGAUGCUGGCCAAUGUCCCUGUGGCCCUUGUCCCCUUGUUCUGUCUGCAUCCCUCCUACAAUGAGCAGGUUCUGGGCAUUGCCCUGUAGGCCGAGGUUGGAGGUAAGGGACAAUGAGCAAUCUUUAGGGACUCCUUAGAGGGAACUUUCCUAGAAAGAUUUCUCUGGCUGCUGGAUAGAAAGACUGAAGGGUGUGCUCAGUGGGUUCUGUGGGAGAUUUGACUUUCUGCAGUGGGAAAGGAGGUGAUUUUAGAGGAAGGUAGUAUCCAUGAAAGUGAGAAGGACUGGACUAGGGGUAUCUUCAUGAAGAGGUGACCUUGAUUAGACUUUGUAGCUAAGGUUAGACCUUUAGCCAAGUGGUAAUGUUGUGGCAGUGGGCAAGCGGGCAAGCAUGCAGGAAAGUAAGGGUCAAUGUCAAUGCUAUGUCUUAAGAAAGUCAUGGCCUGGGGCUGGAGAGAUAGCUCAGCAAUUAAGAGCACUGGCUACUCUUUCUGAGGUGGGUUGAAUUCCUAGUAUCUACAUGGUACUUCGUAACUAUUUGUAACUCCAGUUCUGGAGUGUCUGACACCCUCUUUGCCUUCAUGUAUCAGGCAUGCAUAGACAUGCAUGCAUGUAAAGUACCAAAACACAUAAAAUAU
rnacentral:lncRNA from 1 species